rnacentral:rRNA from 1 species
ACGGAAGGCAGCAGUGGGGAAUAUUGCACAAUGGGGGAAACCCUGAUGCAGCGACGCCGCGUGAGUGAAGAAGUAUUUCGGUAUGUAAAGCUCUAUCAGCAGGAAAGAAAAUGACGGUACCUGACUAAGAAGCCCCGGCUAACUACGUGCCAGCAGCCGCGGUAAUACGUAGGGGGCAAGCGUUAUCCGGAUUUACUGGGUGUAAAGGGAGCGCAGACGGCUUUGCAAGUCUGAAGUGAAAGCCCGGGGCUCAACCCCGGAACUGCUUUGGAAACUGUAGAGCUAGAGUGCAGGAGAGGUAAGUGGAAUUCCUAGUGUAGCGGUGAAAUGCGUAGAUAUUAGGAGGAACACCAGUGGCGAAGGCGGCUUACUGGACUGUAACUGACGUUGAGGCUCGAAGGCGUGGGGAGCAAACAGGAUUAGAUACCCUGGUA